GACCCAGUGGUGCAGUGCUCAACACACCAGCUCUUACUACGCCGUCUGCCGACUUCUUAAGCUGGAGGUCCCCGUUUGACUCGGGGCUGGGUCG